GUAGGGGCUCUUGGCGGAGUCGCCCCGAGAUGAAAUCUGAGACACUAUUUCAAGCUCUACGGAGUGCAGCAGUCGCGAAUCUUCUGCAAUGCGCGCAAGCGUGACAGAGCGAACCAAAGUGCUUUCCGCACAGGAAAGCUUUUCUCUGCUGUAAAAAGGCAGAGGAAUAAGGACUGGGCAAGACCGGUGCCAGCCGCCGCGGUAAUCCCGGCAGUCCAAGUCGCAGCCAACAUUAUUGGGUCUAAAACAUCCGUAGCUUGUUCGUUAAGUUCUUUGUGAAAUCCUGUGUCUCAAGCAUGGGGCUUGCGGAGAAUACUGGCGGGCUAGUGAUCGGAAAAUGCAAGGAGUAUGUUCAAGGUAGUGGUAAAAUACGUUAAUCUUGGAUAGACUAACAAUUGGCGAAGGCACCUUGCAAGUACGAAUCUGACAGUGAGGGAUGAAGGCCAGGGGCGCAAAACGGAUUAGAUACCCGUGUAGUCCUGGCAGUAAACACUGCUCACUAAACAUCGGGCCCUCUUCGGGAGGAUUCGGUGCUGAAGCGAAGGCGAAGAGUGAGCUACCUGGGAAGUAUAGUCGCAAGAUCGAAACU
rnacentral:rRNA from 1 species